rnacentral:rRNA from 2 species
CAUUAAGCGCCCCCCCCUGGGAGUACGGCCGCAAGGCUAAAACUCAAAGGAAUUGACGGGGGGCCCGCACAAGCGGCGGAGCAUGUGGAUUAAUUCGAUGCAACGCGAAGAACCUUACCUGGGUUUGACAUAUACCGGAAAGCCGUAGAGAUACGGCCCCCCUUGUGGUCGGUAUACAGGUGGUGCAUGGCUGUUGUCAGCUCGUGUCGUGAGAUGUUGGGUUAAGUCCCGCAACGAGCGCAACCCUUGUCCUGUGUUGCCAGCGCGUAAUGGCGGGGACUCGCAGGAGACUGCCGGGGUCAACUCGGAGGAAGGUGGGGACGACGUCAAGUCAUCAUGCCCCUUAUGUCCAGGGCUUCACACAUGCUACAAUGGCCGGUACAGAGGGCUGCGAUACCGUGAGGUGGAGCGAAUCCCUUAAAGCCGGUCUCAGUUCGGAUCGGGGUCUGCAACUCGACCCCGUGAAGUCG